rnacentral:piRNA from 1 species
GUCAAAGGCCAGAGCUCUGGUGGCGU